rnacentral:tRNA from 1 species
GCUGAUAUGGCUCAGUUGGUAGAGCGCACCCUUGUUAAGGGUGAGGUCCCCAGUUCGACUCUGGGUAUCAGCACCA